rnacentral:rRNA from 1 species
UGAUCCCCUNUUUAANUUAUCAGGCCCAAUGAUAGUUGAAUNACUGGGAACAACCUAUAGGUCAUUCGUGCAAAAAUGUCCUGCCUUUAUCGAAGGGACGCUUUCGGCUAUGAAAGCNAUCCUCGCUUCGGCGAGAAAGGAGUUGAAACUGGGUGAACUAUCUCUUGUACGGCUGUUUGAGCUGACCACUAUAAUUGUAAGCGUCUGACCUAUCAACUUUUGAUGGUGGUAUAUCUUACUGCCUUGUUGUAACGGGUAAAGGGGUAUCAGGGUNCNAUUCCGGAGAGAGAGCCCGAAAAAC